CCAUCCCUUUUUCUGCCCUAUAGUCUUGAGGAACUGCAAAAAUCAAACAAAGAAAAACACGUUUACUCUCAUUUUUGUAGCAUUUCAGGAGGGAGCAAAG